ACAGCAGCAGCCACGGUAAUACAGAGGAUGCAAGCGUUAUCCGGAAUGAUUGGGCGUAAAGCGUCUGUAGGUGGCUUUUCAAGUCCGCCGUCAAAUCCCAGGGCUCAACCCUGGACAGGCGGUGGAAACUACCAAGCUGGAGUACGGUAGGGGCAGAGGGAAUUUCUGGUGGAGCGGUGAAAUGCGUUGAGAUCGGAAAGAACACCAACGGUGAAAGCACUCUGCUGGGCCGACACUGACACUGAGAGACGAAAGCUAGGGGAGCAAAUGGGAUUAGAUACCCCAGUAGUCCCUGUCUCUUAUAC
rnacentral:rRNA from 1 species